rnacentral:antisense_RNA from 1 species
GGAUGGAUCAACGCCGCCAAGUGGGGAAAGCACGAACACAGUCCCCCACUACAACAAAUUAUGCAGUCGAGUUUUCCACAUUUGGGGAUAUCGCAGGGGUCAGCACAUCCGGAGUGCAAUCGAUGAGCCUCACACUGGGAAAAACCACCUUCGUGAUCAUGAUAUCUUCCCUGCCAGAGAGAAACCAAUCAGCUUCAUUUUCAACUUCUUCUAUGACUCCAGAGGAUUCACUUUGCAUCUUGUGACAAAUGAAGAUAUUACCUGGAAAAAAAAAAAAGACAGGAUAGAUGAGUUGCUGCACAGGGGGAAAGCGAAGUUCCCAGGAGUAAGAUGUGCAAGAAGGAGGCAGUCUUGCAUCUCAGGGCUGAUUCCCUAAACUCUGUGCUUGAGGGAAGUUCUCCCCUUGCAGACACACUGCUGAGUGACAAGGAAGCGCCUAGACUCCACUCUGACCAGACUUGGUUCUGAGGCCUAUGAAAUGUUGAUGGGAAGAACAGAAGCAGGAAAAUCUAUCUAUUCAAAUUUGCAAGAGGUGGAAACUUUUAUUCACCUUCCUGGAUAGACUGUUCCUUUGUCAAAGUAAAGCUAAGGCCAUGGAAAAUGAGCUAUUUGAGAGUCUGUCGCUCCAAGGAAGAACAUGCUGGCCUAAUUGUCCCCCAAGUCAGGAGAGAGAAUUGUAAAAAGCACUUAAACAGGCCUAAGUAAAAGUCCAGCACAUUAUUCAUUUAAGACUGAAUUAGGACUGAGUCAUUCCAACUGAAAAAAGAGUGUUGUUGGAUUCUUAUAUAUUCGAUGGGUCUGCCCUAUUGAAAACCAUUGUGAAGUCUGGUUUCCCAAGCAAGAAGUGACACUUUCACUGUCAGUCUUUCUAGGAAUCUGGCAGAAUCCAGGACUAGGAUUACCCUUAUUUAUGAAGCGACCUUAGACUAACAGUGGCUCUCUGGGCCUGCAGACAAUUGGCCAGGGACUCUAAAAACCAGAAACAAAGUUGAGAGAACUCCAGGCUGGUGGAGAAAAACAGCUGGCGUUUAUUACCACAAUGAGCCCCAUAGAAGCAACAAAGCAGCAAGCGAUGUUCUUAAACAAGGGCCUGUGGGCCUUGUCAAGAUCUGGAGGAGUCAUCUACAACUCACUGCUGAGUGAGAGGGCUAGGCAGUGUCUUUAAGGUCCUGCCAGCUUUAACACUGUAUGCUUUUUCUUUUGUUCAAUCUCUCACCACAACUGGAAGUGUUGCCUCAACUACACAGGAAAAGUUUGCAGUAACUUAGAGAAAACAUUAUUUUAAUCACCAGUGUAUGUUCUCCGGCUCCCUGGACAAAUCCAUCAGCAGCGGCAACACUGACCAGGUCCAGACUGGGGCCACUGCAGUGGAUGUGAAUCCAUUGAAACCAGGGGUCUCCAGUGCUCCUGA